GAUGAACGCUGGCGGCGUGCCUAAUACAUGCAAGUCGAGCGAACGGACGAGAAGCUUGCUUCUCUGAUGUUAGCGGCGGACGGGUGAGUAACACGUGGAUAACCUACCUAUAAGACUGGGAUAACUUCGGGAAACCGGAGCUAAUACCGGAUAAUAUUUUGAACCGCAUGGUUCAAAAGUGAAAGACGGUCUUGCUGUCACUUAUAGAUGGAUCCGCGCUGCAUUAUCUAGUUGGUAAGGUAACGGCUUACCAAGGCAACGAUGCAUAGCCGACCUGAGAGGGUGAUCGGCCACACUGGAACUGAGACACGGUCCAGACUCCUACGGGAGGCAGCAGUAGGGAAUCUUCCGCAAUGGUCGAAAGCCUGACGGAGCAACGCCGCGUGAGUGAUGAAGGUCUUCGGAUCGUAAAACUCUGUUAUUAGGGAAGAACAUAUGUGUAAGUAACUGUGCACAUCUUGACGGUACCUAAUCAGAAAGCCACGGCUAACUACGUG
rnacentral:rRNA from 1 species